rnacentral:rRNA from 1 species
GACGAACGCUGGCGGCGUGCUUAACACAUGCAAGUCGAACGGAAAGGCCUUUUCGGAGGUACUCGAGUGGCGAACGGGUGAGUAACACGUGGGUGAUCUGCCCUGCACUCUGGGAUAAGCCUGGGAAACUGGGUCUAAUACCGGAUAGGACCGCACUUUAGUGUGUGUGGUGGCAAGUUUUUUCGGUGUAGGAUGAGCCCGCGGCCUAUCAGCUUGUUGGUGGGGUAAUGGCCUACCAAGGCGGCGACGGGUAGCCGGACUGAGAGGUUGGUCGGCCACAGUGAGACUGAGAUACGGCCCAGACGCCUACGGGUGGCAGCAGUGGGGAAUAUUGAACAAUGGGCGCAAGCGUGAUGCAGCGACGCCGCGUGGGGGAUGACGGCCUUCGGGUUGUAAACGCAUUUCGCCAGGGACGAAGCGUUUUGUGACGGUACCUGGAGAAGAAGCACCGGCUAACUACGUG